GACGAACGCUGGCGGCGUGCCUAAUACAUGCAAGUUGAGCGCUGAAGGUUGGUACUUGUACCAACUGGAUGAGCAGCGAACGGGUGAGUAACGCGUGGGGAAUCUGCCUUUGAGCGGGGGACAACAUUUGGAAACGAAUGCUAAUACCGCAUAAAAACUUUAAACACAAGUUUUAAGUUUGAAAGAUGCAAUUGCAUCACUCAAAGAUGAUCCCGCGUUGUAUUAGCUAGUUGGUGAGGUAAAGGCUCACCAAGGCGAUGAUACAUAGCCGACCUGAGAGGGUGAUCGGCCACAUUGGGACUGAGACACGGCCCAAACGCCUACGGGAGGCAGCAGUAGGGAAUCUUCGGCAAUGGACGAAAGUCUGACCGAGCAACGCCGCGUGAGUGAAGAAGGUUUUCGGAUCGUAAAACUCUGUUGGUAGAGAAGAACGUUGGUGAGAGUGGAAAGCUCAUCGAGUGACGGUAACUACCCAGAAAGGGACGGCUAACUACGUG
rnacentral:rRNA from 1 species